rnacentral:rRNA from 1 species
GGAUUAGAUACCCUGGUAGUCCACGCAGUAAACGAUGAGCACUAGACGUGGGAGAGGUUGACUCUCCGGUGUCGCAGCUAACGCAUUAAGUGCUCCGCCUGGGGAGUACGGCCGCAAGGUUGAAACUCAAAGGAAUUGACGGGGGCCCGCACAAGCGGUGGAGCAUGUGGUUUAAUUCGAUGCAACGCGAAGAACCUUACCUGCCCUUGACAUCCGGGGAAUCCUAUUGAGAGAUAGGGGUGCCUUCGGGAACCCCGAGACAGGUGCUGCAUGGCUGUCGUCAGCUCGUGUUG